GUCAAAAGGGUUAUUUCAAAGGGAUGCUAUCUUAUGACUUAGGUAUUCACAAAUUUUAUGGACCAAAAUCCACCAAAUGUGGGUCCCGUAGCUUAUAGGUUGGAUAAGUGGAAAAUUCACAACUUAUCUGGCUUAGGGAUUUUGGUUUUUGUAGGUUCUGGAGUAUGUUUUGCCUUGACCAUUCUGCGUUAUAUGGUGAUCCCACUCAUGAUGGUUUCACUAUUUGUGAAGUGGGACGAGGGGUUGUGGAGGUGAAAUAAUUUGGUGUUCCAGACGCAGUUAAAUCAAUGUCAUGGUGUGCUGAGAAUAUAUGUGUGGGAAUCAGAACAGCGUAUACGAUCUUGAAUGCUACAAAUGAUGCCUUGUCUGAGGUGUUUUCUUCAGGGAGGAUUGCCCCCAACUUUGGUGAUAUCUCUUCCAUAUGGAGAACUUCUUUUGGGCAAGGUAAUAUAUUUCUUAUGGGUAGCUAAUAUACAUGAAACCAAGACUAGACUAUAACUCAAUCAAAGGUUGAAUCAGUUGUUUGUUUUAUGCUUUUGAUGCAUUCGGAGUAUAUCACUUUGAUGUCGUUAUGGG
rnacentral:lncRNA from 1 species